AGAUGGAUUUCUUCCCGCAAGGGACUUGGAUACAGGUGCUGCAUGGCUGUCGUCAGCUCGUGUCGUGAGAUGUUGGGUUAAGUCCCGCAACGAGCGCAACCCUCGUCGUCUGUUGCCAUCGGGUAAUGCCGGGAACUCAGACGAGACUGCCGGUGACAAGCCGGAGGAAGGCGGGGAUGACGUCAAGUCAUCAUGGCCCUUACGCGUAGGGCUAGAAACGUGCUACAAUGGUGGUGACAGUGAGUUGCUAGGUCGCGAGGCCAAGCUAAUCUC
rnacentral:rRNA from 1 species